rnacentral:rRNA from 1 species
AAUGAACGCUGGCGGCAUGCCUAACACAUGCAAGUCGAACGAAGGCUUCGGCCUUAGUGGCGCACGGGUGCGUAACGCGUGGGAAUCUGCCCUUGGGUUCGGAAUAACAGUGAGAAAUUACUGCUAAUACCGGAUGAUGACGUAAGUCCAAAGAUUUAUCGCCCAAGGAUGAGCCCGCGUAGGAUUAGCUAGUUGGUGGGGUAAAGGCCCACCAAGGCGACGAUCCUUAGCUGGCCUGAGAGGAUGAUCAGCCACACUGGGACUGAGACACGGCCCAGACUCCUACGGGAGGCAGCAGUGGGGAAUAUUGGACAAUGGGCGAAAGCCUGAUCCAGCAAUGCCGCGUGAGUGAUGAAGGCCUUAGGGUUGUAAAGCUCUUUUACCCGGGAUGAUAAUGACAGUACCGGGAGAAUAAGCUCCGGCUAACUCCGUGCCAGCCGCCGCCGUAAGAC